GAAGCUAUAAAGGUGACAGCCUUUUUAUUUUUUUAUUUUUUUUAUUUUUUUAGUAUUAUUCAUGGUCUUUAACAAUGGCAGAUCCAGGAUUUGGAAGUCAAGUAGGCGGAACUUACACGUUGCAUGGAUACGAAUACGGAUACUCUGAUACUGAAAAUUUCUAAAAACUAGGAUACGUGAUACGAGGAAUUGACUCGGGUGUGCAAAAAACAAAUUGGGUGUCCAAACAAUUUUACCCAAUCCUAAAUAAUUAUAGAGUCCAAUAUCACCCAUAUUUAGUCACGUGACUCCCUAUCACUUUUAUCCCUCUCUCCUCUCUCCUCUCUUGCUCUCUCCCCCCUUCUUUUCUUUUCUUUUUUCUCUUUGCCCUGGGCUUCUUGUUUUCUUCUCUCUUUUCUUUUUUUUUUUUUUUUGGUAUUCUUUCUUCACUUUCUCUUUUCCUUUGGUCUUGUUGCUUCAUAUCUACCUAUUUUUAUUUCCUGACAAUUUUUGGGUAGGCAACUGCCUACCCAAAACAAGGCUAGAUCCAACAGUGGUCCUCGAGAGUUGCCUACCCAAAACAAGGCUAGAUCCAACAGUGGUCCUCGAGGUUAAUAUACGUGUUCACAAGUAGUCCCUGGUGUAAGUUUUCGUCAAAAGUUCCAUGAGUUUGUUAAUGUGAGGAAUAUAUGUCGAGCCCACAUAUCCAACAAUAUAAUACCAUGUGAAUUUAAAUAUGUAAAAAUAAAAAAAAAACAAUUUUAAUUGUUAAAAAUGGGAAAAUCAUGAAGAAAAAAAAAAAUCUACAUCUUUUAAACAAUUAAAUUAGAUUAAAAUUGAAAACAAAAAGUAUAUAUCUCCAUCUCCAUCAAUCUAGGCCCUUGACUUUAAUCACUCCACCCUAGCCUGCUGGUGUGAGAGCAAAUAAUUCGGCUGCCAAUCACAAGACGCCAUGUGGACAAGAAGAAUUAUCACAAGUCAAUUAAUUAAACCCAUUUAUUUGGCCAUUAAUUGAUACGAACAAAUAGGGAUAUUAUCUUAAAAAUGGAUAAUAUCUUUAUUUAAAAAGAUAAUAUCACCAAUUAAGAUAUUAUCCUAAUUUGGAGAUAUCAUCAUCAAAUUAGGAGAAUUUAUCCCAAUCAAAUCCCUAAUGGACUCAAACUCUACAAUUUGGUGAAAGAAUAAACUCCUUCCAAAUAAGAGUUUAUUCUUUGAAAAACCCUAGAUGCCUAGAGCACUAUAAAUACAUGGCUUCAUUCAAUACUAAAGAUAAUUCUAAAUCUAGUCUUGGAACCCUACAAAAUUCUCCACUCUCUCUCCCUAGCAGACGGCGCCACCACCGUCGCCGACCAUGCCUCUCUCCUCUCUCCAUAUUUUUAUACACGGCUCUGGUCACCACACACUGCUCCUGCCACCCGGUUCUCCCCGUAGAACUUUUUUUUUAGCUAUUGUUUCUCGUAGAUACAAUCGACCUAACUUAGGCAUCGGAAGGCCUUUGGCAAACACCCCCAGAUGUGGUCUAUUUACUCCGGUCUUUUUACAAGAACCGAGGAAGAGAGAGAAAGAAGAUCAAAGGUUGAAGAAUCCACAAGUGAAUAUUCUCCCAUGAGGAUUUUUGCACAAACAGUUGGCCAUCCCUCAAGCCACCACCCCAACACCACCAUCCCUCCCAGCAAUUCCCCCAGCACCACAAUCAAUAUAGACUCAAAAACAGAUUGGGAAGGUGUACUGGUGCAAUUCAAUUGCUUGGUUGAUUUGGAGUGCAAAGGGAGGACAAGACGGUAGUCAAGGCGGCCGGGGAUGUUGUAGCCUCGAGCAAUUGCACUAAGAUCUUCUGAAAUUUCACAUGUUGCCUGCUGGUUGGACUGACACGACCCGACCCAAAUUCCACUUUAGAAUCUGAGCCGAACCCUGUUAGUAUCUGACACCUGGCUAAUGCCGGGCACAAAGACCAAACUGCCAUUCUAACUAAAAAAAUCCACUUUUAAAAUAAUAUUAUCUUCUGCCGAAAAAUUCGGCAAAGUUUCCCCUGUAAUUUACUCAUUCCCCAAAAUUUUCAUCUGUCAUCAAACAUUUAAAAUUUCUCAAGCGUUCAGCAUAUAU
rnacentral:lncRNA from 1 species